rnacentral:misc_RNA from 1 species
UCCGGCUUGACGCCGGCAGUCCCCCGAGAGUCCUCAGCUUUACCUGCUAGUAACACGGGGCGAGGGUUGCGCUCGUUGCGGGACUUAACCCAACAUCUCACGACACGAGCUGACGACAGCCAUGCAGCACCUGUGUGCAGGUCCCGUAAGGGGAGGAAUCCAUCUCUGGAAACCGUCCUGGCAUGUCAAACGCUGGUAAGGUUCUGCGCGUCGCUUCGAAUUAAACCACAUGCUCCACCGCUUGUGCAGGCCCCCGUCAAUUUCUUUGAGUUUUAAUCUUGCGACCGUACUUCCCAGGCGGCACGUUUAUCGCGUUAGCUUCGCCACGAGAGGGGUCGAUUCCACUCACAGCAAACGUGCACCGUUUACGGCUAGGACUAC